UACGUAGGGUGCGAGCGUUGUCCGGAAUUAUUGGGCGUAAAGAGCUUGUAGGCGGUUUGUCGCGUCUGCUGUGAAAUCCGGGGCUCAACCCCGGACUUGCAGUGGGUACGGGCAGACUAGAGUGUGGUAGGGGAGACUGGAAUUCCUGGUGUAGCGGUGAAAUGCGCAGAUAUCAGGAGGAACACCGGUGGCGAAGGCGGGUCUCUGGGCCGAUACUGACGCUGAGGAGCGAAAGCGUGGGGAGCGAACAGG
rnacentral:rRNA from 1 species